UCAGACCUCAAAUCAAGUAGGA
rnacentral:rRNA from 1 species